GGCUUUAUAUUCUAAUGUAAAUGAUUUUAGAUUGCAAAUCUGAAGGUGCUUAUUUAGCUAAAGCUU
rnacentral:tRNA from 1 species